GGGAUGCAAGGAAGGUCGGGAGUCUCUUAAGAAGGAAAUGAAAUCUUUUCCAUCCGCUGGGCUUUUGACAAGCCUUCUAGUGCUAUUUUCCUACCUGCCAGGUAGUUUCCACGGCUUAAUCGACUGUCCCUGACAUUCCCUUCUACGGGCUGCGCGCUCCCUUGCCGCUGUCCAGCAGCUACUUCUACAUCCAGGUGCCAACAUCUCCCAGUCGUGAAAUCAUAAUACAUGCAUGCAAAUGAGCACAACGCGCUAUACAGAUGUGGUGGUGGUAUUAUUAUUGCUAUUGUUGUUGGUUUUGCUUUUCAAGCUCCACCACAGACUAAUGACCAACCAAGUAGGGACCUAGGUGGUUCUCUGUCCUUUUCUGGAGGAGGUCCUCGAGGCACAGGCGGUGAUAACCAGUAGGCUGUGCUUUGUCCAGGAGCUCCAGGGCCUGAGGACGGGCAAUGUAGGGCGGAGACUCUGAGGAGAAUCUGUGCAAAUUGCCGCUGUGAGAGCUGUGAGACGAAAUGAGGCUCAUAAAAUACCUCGAGUCUCGUCUCCUUUUCCUCUGGGAGAGCUGAUGAAAGAACAUGAGAGAAGAAACGGACUUUGACGCCCACCUCGCCCGCAUCCCCACCUAGCCCAGCUUUAGGGACACUAGAAGGACUCGUGGAGGCAAAGCUGGGUCCAAACGUGAGCUUCUGGGAAAACCGAAAAGGUUAACACAUUUCCAGUCCCUGAGAUUCCCACUUCCUGCAUCAUUGCGCAUUCCACAAAUGGAAUUGAAGGCCCAACAUAGAGACAUGCAAGCUGAAACUGCCCAAGUUAAUCUGGGUCUCUAGGCUUAAGGCUCAAGGUCUUGGGCCCCUACAGAGAAUGAGCAAUGGACCUAGUAUGCUACGGCAGCCUCUCUACUGCUGACUUUGAGGAAGCAAGCUGCCAUUCUGGAGAGGCCCACAUGGCCACAAACUGAGGGUGACCUCCGGGCAAUAGCCAACAAGAAACUGAUGGCUUCAGUCCAGCAAUCUUUAAGGAACUGAAUCCUGCCAACAACUGGGGGAGCAAGCUUAGAAGAAGGUCUUUCCCCAACUGAGCCUUCAGUUGAGAUCACUGGCAGCACCUGGAUGGCAGCUUAGUGAUACACCCUGAAGCAGAUGGUCAGGGUAGGCUUCUCUCAGAUUUCUGACCCACAGAAAUCAUGAAAUAAUGUGUGUUUUUUUGAACCACUAAAAAAAUUUGUGGUAAUCUUUUAUGCAGCAAAGACAACUAAUAUAUUGUGCCAGAAUUAAGUGUCAGAUCCUUAGUAAGAGAGAUACCCAUAUGUCCUUUCUGAAUCUGUCCUUUUUGUGUUAUGACAUGUGGGGUUCGCUAAAAUAUGGGGCUCAAGACAGAGUCCCUUCUUGCCUGGGUAUGAGAGCAAUACCAGGACCAGUUAAUUAGUCUUCAGUUUUUUUUUCUUGCAUGUUUCCUAAAAACAUUUUGGAAAACUAUGUGACUUCUUGUGUAUUUUUUACUUUAUAUCUAAUUUCUUUUCUUGAAAAUUAAAAUAACUACAAAGAGUGUAAAAUUGUGAUAUCUUGUAAAUAGUGCCAUUUUAAAGUGAGACUGUUUAUAUUACUCUUUUAAAUGUAUCCAAUAGAACCUAUAUGCCAUAGCUUUUUGAUAUUCAACAUCAUCUUUUUAAAAUGUAUUAAUAAAAUGUUCUUCAACAGGUAGACAUUUUACAUUAUUUAUUUUUCCUUCGAAUUCAUAUU